UACGUAGGGUGCGAGCGUUGUCCGGAAUUACUGGGCGUAAAAGAGCUCGUAGAUGGUUUGUCGCGUUGUUCGUGAAAAACUCACAGCUUAACUGUGGGCGUGCGGGCGAUACGGGCAGACUGGAGUACUGCAGGGAGACUGGAAUCCUGGUGUAGCGGUGGAAUGCGCAGAUAUCAGGAGGAACACCGAUGGCGAAGGCAGAUCUCUGGGCCGUAACUGACGCUGAGGAGCGAAAGCAUGGGGAGCGAACAGG
rnacentral:rRNA from 1 species